AUUGAACGCUGGCGGCAUGCCUAACACAUGCAAGUCGAGCGGAUGAAUGGAGCUUUCUCCUGGAUUCAGCGGCGGACGGGUGAGUAAUGCCUAGGAAUCUGCCUGGUAUUUGGGGAUAACGUCCGUAAACGGGCGCUAAUACCGCAUACGUCCUUAUGGAGAAAGUGAGGGAUCUUCGGACCUCACGCUAUCUGAUGAGCCUAGGUCGGAUUAGCUAGUUGGUGUGGUAAAGGCCUACCAAGGCGACGAUCCGUAACUGGUCUGAGAGGAUGAUCAGUCACACUGGAACUGAGACACGGUCCAGACUCCUACGGGAGGCAGCAGUGGGGAAUAUUGGACAAAGGGCGAAAGCCUGAUCCAGCAAUGCCGCGUGUGUGAAGAAGGUCUUCGGAUCGUAAAGCACUUUAAGUUGGGAGGAAGGGAAGUAAGUUAAUAUCUUGCUGUUUUGACGUUACCAACAGAAUAAGCAACGGCUAACUUCGUG
rnacentral:rRNA from 1 species